UACAGAGGGGCAAGCGUUGUCCGGAAUUACUGGCGUACAGCGCGCGCAGGCGGUUGCCGACGUGCCGUGUGACAACGGGCUCAACCCCGAGGCCACGGUAACGGGCGACUGAGGUGAGGAGAGGGAUGUGGAAUGCCCGGUGGAGCGGUGAAAUGCGUAGAGAUCGGCGGAACACCAGCGGCGAAGGCGGCAUCCUGGCCCGUAUCCUGACGCUGAGGCGCGAGAGCGUGGGGAGCAAACGGG
rnacentral:rRNA from 1 species